rnacentral:rRNA from 1 species
GGCGGACGGGUGAGUAAUGUCUGGGAAACUGCCCGAUGGAGGGGGAUAACUACUGGAAACGGUAGCUAAUACCGCAUAACGUCGCAAGACCAAAGAGGGGGACCUUCGGGCCUCUUGCCAUCGGAUGUGCCCAGAUGGGAUUAGCUAGUAGGUGGGGUAACGGCUCACCUAGGCGACGAUCCCUAGCUGGUCUGAGAGGAUGACCAGCCACACUGGAACUGAGACACGGUCCAGACUCCUACGGGAGGCAGCAGUGGGGAAUAUUGCACAAUGGGCGCAAGCCUGAUGCAGCCAUGCCGCGUGUAUGAAGAAGGCCUUCGGGUUGUAAAGUACUUUCAGCGGGGAGGAAGGGAGUAAAGUUAAUACCUUUGCUCAUUGACGUUACCCGCAGAAGAAGCACCGGCUAACUCCGUGCCAGCAGCCGCCCUAAUACGGAGGGUGCAAGCGUUAAUCGGAAUUACUGGGCGUAAAGCGCACGCAGGCGGUUUGUUAAGUCAGAUGUGAAAUCCCCGGGCUCAACCUGGGAACUGCAUCUGAUACUGGCAAGCUUGAGUCUCGUAGAGGGGGGUAGAAUUCCAGGUGUAGCGGUGAAAUGCGUAGAGAUCUGGAGGAAUACCGGUGGCGAAGGCGGCCCCCUGGACGAAGACUGACGCUCAGGUGCGAAAGCGUGGGGAGCAAACAGGAUUAGAUACCCUGGUAGUCCACGCCGUAAACGAUGUCGACUUGGAGGUUGUGCCCUUGAGGCGUGGCUUCCGGAGCUAACGCGUUAAGUCGACCGCCUGGGGAGUACGGCCGCAAGGUUAAAACUCAAAUGAAUUGACGGGGGCCCGCACAAGCGGUGGAGCAUGUGGUUUAAUUCGAUGCAACGCGAAGAACCUUACCUGGUCUUGACAUCCACGGAAGUUUUCAGAGAUGAGAAUGUGCCUUCGGGAACCGUGAGACAGGUGCUGCAUGGCUGUCGUCAGCUCGUGUUGUGAAAUGUUGGGUUAAGUCCCGCAACGAGCGCAACCCUUAUCCUUUGUUGCCAGCGGUCCGGCCGGGAACUCAAAGGAGACUGCCAGUGAUAAACUGGAGGAAGGUGGGGAUGACGUCAAGUCAUCAUGGCCCUUACGACCAGGGCUACACACGUGCUACAAUGGCGCAUACAAAGAGAAGCGACCUCGCGAGAGCAAGCGGACCUCAUAAAGUGCGUCGUAGUCCGGAUUGGAGUCUGCAACUCGACUCCAUGAAGUCGGAAUCGCUAGUAAUCG